rnacentral:rRNA from 1 species
UACGUAGGGAGCAAGCGUUGUUCGGAUUUACUGGGCGUAAAGGGCGCGUAGGCGGCAAUUCAAGUCAGCUGUGAAAUCUCCGGGCUUAACUCGGAACGGUCAAGUGAUACUGUUGUGCUAGAGUGCGGAAGGGGCAACUGGAAUUCUCGGUGUAGCGGUGAAAUGCGUAGAUAUCGAGAGGAACACCUGCGGCGAAGGCGGGUUGCUGGGCUGACACUGACGCUGAGGCGCGAAAGCCCAGGGGAGCAAACGGG